UUUUACUUAGUUUAAAAUAAAAUACCAGCGUGUCAAGCUGAAGAUGCCUAGGUAGU
rnacentral:tRNA from 1 species